GGGCCGUUAGCUCAGAGGUAGAGCACCUGACUUUUAAUCAGGGUGUCGCUGGUUCGAAUCCAGCACGGCUCACCA
rnacentral:tRNA from 1 species